UACGGAGGGUGCAAGCGUUGUCCGGAUUUAUUGGGUUUAAAGGGUGCGUAGGCGGCCCGUUAAGUCAGCGGUGAAAUCCCGGGGCUCAACCCCGGAACUGCCGUUGAUACUGGCGGGCUUGAGUGCGGUCGAGGCGGGCGGAACUGGCGGUGUAGCGGUGAAAUGCUUAGAUACCGCCAAGAACCCCGAUUGCGUAGGCAGCUCGCUUGGCCGAAACUGACGCUGAGGCACGAAAGCGUGGGGAGCGAACAGG
rnacentral:rRNA from 1 species